GCUGCCUUAGCUCAGUUGGCAGAGCACUUCCUUGGUAAGGAAGAGGUCGGCGGUUCGACUCCGCUAGGUAGCUCCA
rnacentral:tRNA from 2 species